rnacentral:rRNA from 1 species
UACGGGGGGAGCAAGCGUUGUUCGGAUUUACUGGGCGUAAAGGGCGCGUAGGCGGUCGUGACAAGUCACUUGUGAAAUCUCCCGGGCUUAACUCGGAACGGUCAAGUGAUACUGUCGUGCUAGAGUACAGAAGGGGCAACUGGAAUUCUCGGUGUAGCGGUGAAAUGCGUAGAUAUCGAGAGGAACACCUGCGGCGAAGGCGGGUUGC